UGGGGAAUAUUGCACAAUGGGCGCAAGCCUGAUGCAGCCAUGCCGCGUGUGUGAAGAAGGCCUUCGGGUUGUAAAGCACUUUCAGCGAGGAGGAAGGUGGUGAACUUAAUACGUUCAUCAAUUGACGUUACUCGCAGAAGAAGCACCGGCUAACUCCGUGCCAGCAGCCGCGGUAAUACGGAGGGUGCAAGCGUUAAUCGGAAUUACUGGGCGUAAAGCGCACGCAGGCGGUUUGUUAAGUCAGAUGUGAAAUCCCCGGGCUCAACCUGGGAACUGCAUUUGAAACUGGCAAGCUAGAGUCUCGUAGAGGGGGGUAGAAUUCCAGGUGUAGCGGUGAAAUGCGUAGAGAUCUGGAGGAAUACCGGUGGCGAAGGCGGCCCCCUGGACGAAGACUGACGCUCAGGUGCGAAAGCGUGGGGCAGCAAACAGGAUUAGAUACCCUGGUAGUCCACGCUGUAAACGAUGUCGAUUUUGGAGGUUGUGCCCUUGAGGCGUGGCUUCCGGAGCUAACGCGUUAAAUCGACCGCCUGGGGAGUACGGCCGCAAGGUUAAAACUUAAAGG
rnacentral:rRNA from 1 species